GUUGUGUUGUGUUGUGUUGUCUAUAGUUUCUCUUAAUGCUAGAGGGUGUUGUGUUGUGUUGUGUUGUCUAUAGUUUCUCUUAAUGCUAGAGGGUGUUGUGUUGUCUAUAGUGUGUCUUAAUGCUAGAGGGUGUUGUGUUGUGUUGUCUAUAGUUUAUCUUAAUGCUAGAGGGUGUUGUGUUGUCUAUAGUUUCUCUUAAUGCUAGAGGGUGUUGUGUUGUGUUGUGUUGUCUAUAGUGUGUCUUAAUGCUAGAGGGUGUUGUGUUGUCUAUAGUGUGUCUUAAUGCUAGAGGGUGUUGUGUUGUCUAUAGUUUAUCUUAAUGCUAGAGGGUGUUGUGUUGUCUAUAGUUUCUCUUAAUGCUAGAGGGUGUUGUAGGGUGUUGUGUUGUCUAUAGUGUGUCUUAAUGCUAGAGGGUGUUGUGUUGUCUAUAGUGUAUCUUAAUGCUAGAG
rnacentral:lncRNA from 1 species